rnacentral:rRNA from 1 species
UACGAAGGGGGCUAGCGUUGCUCGGAAUCACUGGGCGUAAAGCGCACGUAGGCGGAUUGUUAAGUCGGGGGUGAAAUCCUGGAGCUCGACUCCAGAACUGCCUUCGAUACUGGCGAUCUUGAGUCCGGGAGAGGUGAGUGGAACUCCGAGUGUAGAGGUGAAAUUCGUAGAUAUUCGGAAGAACACCAGUGGCGAAGGCGGCUCACUGGCCCGGUACUGACGCUGAGGUGCGAAAGCGUGGGGAGCAAACAGG